GCGCCUCCUCCUCCGCACAGCUCCGGUUGCGGGGAGGCCCGGGUGGGUACCCGGCGCUCCGGCUCCCAGUCUCCUGGGCUUCUCCAGUCCUUCAGCGCCGUUCUCCGGUCACAGGGAAUGAAAGCGAGGAAGAAGGAAACGGUGUCGAGAAUUGCGAAGAGAGAAAGCAUAGAAAACCCACAUUAGAGGCACUCCCAGAGCAGAAACCCUUCGGAGCAUCCCGACUUCCUCGGCCCGCGUGCAAUCCAGGCAAAAUUGAGGUUGUCUCUGAGCCGCCCUCCCUAAGCAGGUCGGAAAGCCCCCGAAUCAUCCCAGGUCCCGCCGCGCUGCACUCGCAACCUGGGGUGGAGGUCCCUCUAGUGGUUGGCACCAAACAAAAGUUCUGUCUUAUGAAGAGCCGAGGUCAGGAAGCAUUUCCCUGUGCCCAGCGCCAAGGUCUGGGACCUUAGGUCCAAGAAAAGCGUUGGCAAUGUCUGACCACAGGAAUGGGUUCUCGAACUGGGGAGGACUGAAGCUGGAGAUCUGGUCCAGCCCCUACCUCCAGCGUGUGGCCUGAACCCGUUUUGGUUGUACUGCUAUGUUGUGGCCCUGCCCAGGCCUCCAAGGACUGGCUGCUGUUAAGCUGUUUAAAAUCCCUGUAGGCCUCAGAUGGCAGCGACACCAGGGACUCGGCAUAGUCCCCAGCUCUGGCAGGAGUCACCACAGCCCUAGCCUUUAGUUCUCUACAGGCUGGAGUGUCGACAAACUCCACAGGACACAACUUUUUCAAACCAAAUUUACCCUCGCGGUCUGAAAUGACCAGUAGGCCCAGGAGAAUUUUACAUGUGAACAGAACCUAACCCACCCUGGCAAAUAUGAGACGUGUGGUCACUGCGGGAACCUGGCCAGCAGCAGACCAAAGCACAGCCAGCAGGGGAAGGCUGGGGCCCGCAAGAGUUGUGUUACAACAGGACACCCUUCAGUUCUCUUUCACUUCCUUAAAAUAGCAGCAGAGCGACUUUUGUAGACGCAGGCUGCCACAGUUCACACAAGGUCAUGGCUGUUUCCGAAUCCCACCCUUUAUUGCCCUAGCGGAGCCACUCCCCUUACCUCCGCCCCCAGAAACUGCUAGCCUGUUCUUAAAUUGAUACAGUUACCUUUUUAAAUGUUCUAAGUCACCGGCUCUGGAGCUUCUUUGCACUUUGGAACCAACUUGCGGGAAGGAACUUUAAAAAUACUGAUAUCUCGAUCCAUCCCCAGAGGUUCUGAUUUAAUGGUCUUGGGGAUAUGGCCACGGCAUGAGGACUGUUAAAACUCCGCAGGUGAUUCUUAUGUGCAACAAAGUUUAAGAACCACUGAUGUAGGCCAUGUCGAUGUCAGUCUUCACUUAAAUCCAACAAGACCCCAGAGCUAAAACGUUCACCUGAAAGAAACCCCAUUCCCAGGCCUGCAUACUGACCUGCGCUGGCUCACAAGAAGCAAAGUGGUCCCUUAACAGGGGCUUCCUGGAGAAAAUGUCUUGACCUAAAAGAGUGAUUCGAGCUGCAGGGAUUUAAGCCCACUGAAGGUCAACUGGAGUCAGAGGACAAGAAACAGGAUGAAGGAAAGAAGACUGGACAGGAGGAAGAGAGAUGCAUAGUGAGAUGGGUUCCAGAGGUUCGGAGAAUUCUUACAAUACAGCAAAUGAUGCCAUACAGUGAAGCACCUUGAAAGAUUGCUGGGAUAAGCUGACAGCAUGGCAGCCAAAAUAGUGACCCCAGGCUUGCAGGAAUUCUGUGCUUUCUGGAGGAAAUGGUCAUGGGUUUCCCAACCUGCCUUUUAAACUAAGGACCGAGCUGAAGAAGCCCCCGUCUUCCAGCGCAUGUUAUUCCCAUGACAGAUGCUAAAAGUUCAAGGGGAGAGCUACAAGAAGUGCGUUUUCCUGUGGCUACUUUCAUGUCUGGAUGCAAUGCCUAGACCUGCAUCCAUCUUGCGACCAACCUGAAGAUGAACAGAAAGGAAGGAAGGAUGGCCCAAUAGCCUGGGAAGAACUGGUGUUCCUGAUACCAUCAUUAACCACAGAAUCUACAAUCCCGGAACCCCCCAUCCUUAACCAUGGAAUCUACAAUCCUAUCUCUAGACCCUUUGUCCAGAUGCUACAGUUUCUUUGUUCAAUCUAGUUUGUGUCAGGAUUUCUGUUCAUUACAUCAAAAGUAUUCUAAUACUUGUAGCAAAGCAACUGGAGAAGUUUUCACUUUGUCUUUAACCAAAGAAGACUUCCAGGAAACAUCUCCUCAGUGGGUUUCUCCCUCACCACUGGAUUUUUAUCUCUGUACUAGUGCUUUGAUUUGUUUUAGGAGUCUCACCUCUCCACCUGUCAUAUUUCCCUGGCAGGCUCAUUUCUGCUAAUGCCCACAAUAUGUGUAUCAAUGAGCUUUCAACGUUAGGUACACAGCUCUUCAGGCAUGUAUAGCACAUUAAUCUGUCUGCUUCUAAGUGGUCUGUUGACAUGUUUGGGUGCCAGUUAUAUCUACAAGGCUGUGAUCAUUGUCCUGGGUUAUUCUGUUUGUUCUCUCUGCAGGAUGCAUUAGGACACCCAAGGCCAUGGCCAUCACUUACAUCUAGGAUUCAAUCUUAUCUCCUGUGAAUCACUGGAAACCUCCUGUCCUGGAACCCUUUUUUUCCACAUCCCACUGGAUGUCAUUCAUAGCAACUGGUCUUGUGGGUUGUCUAUUUUAUUGUGUUGUCUUACUCUUCCUCCUGGUAUCAGUUUUUAAAUCCUCUUGAUGAGAUCAGCUGAUCAGUCGCUAAGCAACAUAGUCCCCCAUGUCUUUGUAAGAUUCUCUGCACUCAUGGCUAGAAUGAUUUAUUCUGGUAUCUUAAGCUGUGUUUCAGAACCUCAUUCUAAAUAUCAACCUAUUCUUGUAAGUCCACUACUGAUCAUCUUUAGAUAUUCUUCAGUCUUCCAGAGUUCCAAAGGGCAGUAGGAAGAAGCAAUGAAAAUACCACCUGUAUUCUCACAUCUUUCAUUGUUCCACUCAAAAAAUACCACCAUGUUCACUUCUGGUGGAACGUUUAUGUCCAUGAGAAGCAGUGGCUUUGAAGAGUUUUGGCAGACUAUGGCGCCUUACUCAACAUUGGGAAGGUAUCUUGCCAUCAGACCUUUUGGGUCUCCAUGAAACUUCUUAUACCCCCUCUGGGAAAAGUCACUAACUGUGAUCUUACUGAGCUUCUAAACACAGCAUUUUUUUUACACUUAAGUGAGCGGGGGUCCUCCUCAUUUGUGCUUCUCUUCUUGUAAGGGUGACUUCCUCCCAGUAGGAUGAAUCUCAUGCCUAUUUGUGUUAUUUUGCUAAUUCCAGCUUCUUUUCUACUCAGGGGGGUUCCAACUCUUUUAAGGUCUCAUCUUCAGCACUUCUAAACUGUGGGAAACUAUGUGAAAACAAAUGGAGUGGCCAAACACACCAUUCAUCACUGUGCUUCUGGACAGCUGCAAGUCCAUACGUGUUCUGAUGAAGUCUGGCUCUGUUGCCCAGGCUGGAGUGCAAUGGCACAGUCUCGGCUCACUGCAACCUCUGCCUCCUGGGUUCAUGCAAUUCUCCUGCCUCAGCUUCCCAAGUAGCUGGGAUUACAGACAUGCACCACCAUGCCCAGCUAAUUUUUGUAUUUUUAGUACAAACAGGGUUUCACUAUGUUAGUCGGGCUGAUCUUGAACUCCUGACCUCAAGUGAUCCACUCCCCGCAGCCUCCCAAAGUGCUGGGAUUACAGGCGUGAGCCACUGCGCCCGGCCUUUCAGCUGAUUUUCUAAUCAAGAAGUUAUAUCAGUCUUUGUCUGCAGUUGCUCAAAGACUCUCUUUUAAAGUGCAGAGACUAUCCACCUCAGCUAUAGCACAGGGCUCAGCACUGUAUUUCCAGUUAUGGAAUACAGUUAUUUCAUAUAUGUUAUAUUAUUCUUAAUUCUGUCCCUAGUUCCUGCUACUGAGGAAGUCCAUACUCAGCAGGACAGUCUCCUGGUCUGCCAUGAAUUCAAACACAAUCUGUAAAGACAGUGAAGGAAGCUACAUCUGUGCAUGGGGGCUUUAGAGAAUUAUUGGCUUGAAGCAAUAAGAGGAACAUCUGGGCUGAGUAGUCCUCGAAGACUCUCAUGUGAUUCAAAAGUCCUUUUCUUCCUUAUUAUUUCCUAUCUUGCUCUCAAGCAUCUCCUCUGGCAGCAGCAACUGGAACUAAAAGUGAUUUCUCUAUAACAGCGAGCAAGUUUCUCAUGGCCUUUGCUAUUAACUCUUUCAUGCCUGCUGACCUGCAAAAGAAUCAGGAGGGCUGGUGCUGGAGCAGAUGGCGCACUGUGAGUGAUGGUUUAGAUUCUGCCUGGACUCAAACCAUUUGGUUGAUGGCGGGAACCUUGAUUUUCCCCCUUCUUAUCCUGAGAGUGUAGGGUUUCUCUGAAUUAUUAUUUCUUUCUUUGCAAGGAUCCCUGGAUCCUCAUUCCUGAUAUAAGACUAGUUCUAGGUAAGUGCACAUUCAUGUGAUAUAUUGGUUCCAUACUAGGCAAUGGAAGUGCCACAUUAUCUGUAAGGAGCAGGAGAAGAGCCAUUAGCCCCAGUCCUGGGAACGAACUUUCUGUAACUUUAAGAAACAUAAAACUUUAAAUGCAACUGAAAGAUUAUAUUCUGUCACCUCCAACUACUCACCCAUAAAUACAAUAGGCACCACGGAGGCUAGGAUAAAGUGCAAAUUUAAGAUUAUAAGUGUGCUUAUAAUAAAUAUUGACAACAUCAUGCCUUCAAUGUUAUCAAUGUUGAUGUCACCCUGCAGGCCCAAGGUAGAGAGGUAGAACUGCUCCGCUGGCUGCCCUGCCAUACUUUGGGGUCAUGUGAUACGAUCUUCCAUAGCCACGGGGCCUUGGUUGUCAACUCAUUCCUGAACUUUGUGUGCCAAAGUGAGUCCAGCUUCCACACCCUUCACCUCCACCACCAGGCUGAUCCAGACUGCCAGGCUACGAUCCUCCAAGCAGGAUCCUACCUUGAUCUUAAAAACUUCCUAUGAAGAGCUCUACCAUCAUGUUUUCUAAAACCAGAAGCCCACCCUAAUCCCUGCCUGGCUUUUGGUUCCUUCAUUAGAGGCAAUCACUGCCAUAGAGAGCCCCACUCACUAUCCCUCCAUAGACGCCUUAGAACUAGGUUGGGAGCACGAGAUGCUCAGCCUUUAUAUUUUGUUAUCUUGAACCACAUGGGAGUCUUUGAGGACUACCCAGCCCAGACAUUUCUCUUAUUACUGCAAGCCGAUAAUUCUCUAAAGCACCUAAGCACAGACGUAGCUUCCUUCACUGUCUUUACAGAUUGUGUUUGAAUUCAUGGCACAGCAGAAGACUGUCCUGCUGUGUAUGGAGUUCCUCAGUAGCAGGAACUAGGGACAGAAUUGAGAAUAGCACUAACACCAGAAAUACAGUGCUGAGCCCUGUGCUGUAGCUGAGGUGGAUGGUCUCUGACUCUGUGGGCCUCUCUGCAGCCAGUCCAAUUCCUGUCUUUCUCUUGUGAAUAAAUGUUGCUGGCUCCAACUCAGCCUUAUUUUUUGAUGUGAUUCUGACUCCAGUCAUUAAGGGGGAUGUCUUAG
rnacentral:lncRNA from 1 species